rnacentral:rRNA from 1 species
AUCGAACGCUGGCGGCAUGCCUUACACAUGCAAGUCGAACGGCAGCACGGGGGGUAACCCCUGGUGGCGAGUGGCGAACGGGUGAGUAAUAUAUCGGAACGUGUCCUGUAGCGGGGGAUAACCUAUCGAAAGAUGGACUAAUACCGCAUACGACCUACGGGUGAAAGCGGAGGACCGCAAGGCUUCGCACUAUAGGAGCGGCCGAUAUCGGAUUAGCUAGUUGGCGGGGUAACGGCCCACCAAGGCGACGAUCCGUAGCUGGUCUGAGAGGACGAUCAGCCACACUGGAACUGAGACACGGUCCAGACUCCUACGGGAGGCAGCAGUGGGGAAUUUUGGACAAUGGGCGCAAGCCUGAUCCAGCCAUGCCGCGUGAGUGAAGAAGGCCUUCGGGUUGUAAAGCUCUUUCGGCGGGGACGAAACGGUUCGUGCUAAUACCACGGACUACUGACGGUACCCGCAGAAGAAGCACCGGCUAACUACGUG